rnacentral:rRNA from 1 species
GAUGAACGCUGGCGGCGUGCCUAAUACAUGCAAGUCGAGCGAACAGACGAGGAGCUUGCUCCUCUGACGUUAGCGGCGGACGGGUGAGUAACACGUGGAUAACCUACCUAUAAGACUGGGAUAACUUCGGGAAACCGGAGCUAAUACCGGAUAAUAUAUUGAACCGCAUGGUUCAAUAGUGAAAGACGGUUUUGCUGUCACUUAUAGAUGGAUCCGCGCCGCAUUAGCUAGUUGGUAAGGUAACGGCUUACCAAGGCGACGAUGCGUAGCCGACCUGAGAGGGUGAUCGGCCACACUGGAACUGAGACACGGUACAGACUCAUACGGGAGGCAGCAGUAGGGAAUCUUCCGCAAUGGGCGAAAGCCUGACGGAGCAACGCCGCGUGAGUGAUGAAGGUCUUCGGAUCGUAAAACUCUGUUAUUAGGGAAGAACAAAUGCGUAAGUAACUAUGCACGUCUUGACGGUACCUAAUCAGAAAGCCACGGCUAACUACGUG